UACGUAGGGGGCGAGCGUUGUCCGGAGUUACUGGGCGUAAAGGGCAUGCAGGCGGUCCGACACGUUUUGUGUGACAGCGGGUGGCUUAACUACCCGAGGAUGCGAAAGACGGUUGGACUUGAGGACUCGAGAGGGACACGGAAUUCCGGGUGGAGUGGUGAAAUGCGUAGAGAUCCGGAGGAACACCGAAGGCGAAGGCAGUGUCCUGGCGAGUGACUGACGCUGAGGUGCGAAAGCCAGGGGAGCGAACGGG
rnacentral:rRNA from 1 species